rnacentral:rRNA from 1 species
GCGAGGCUACUUAAACCAUCGCGAACUCGUCCAAGUUGCUUCGGCGGCGCGGCCUCCCUCACGGGGGCGCCGCAGCCCCGCCUCUCCGGAGGUGUGGGGCGCCCGCCGGAGGUACGAAACUCUGUAUUAUAGUGGCAUCUCUGAGUAAAAAACAAAUAAGUUAAAACUUUCAACAACGGAUCUCUUGGUUCUGGCAUCGAUGAAGAACGCAGCGAAAUGCGAUAAGUAAUGUGAAUUGCAGAAUUCAGUGAAUCAUCGAAUCUUUGAACGCACAUUGCGCCCGCUAGUACUCUAGCGGGCAUGCCUGUUCGAGCGUCAUUUCAACCCUCAAGCCCUGCUUGGUGUUGGGGCCCUACGGCUGCCGUAGGCCCUGAAAGGAAGUGGCGGGCUCGCUACAACUCCGAGCGUAGUAAUUCAUUAUCUCGCUAGGGACGUUGCGGCGCGCUCCUGCCGUUAAAGACCAUCUUUAACUCAAGGUUGACCUCGGAUCAGGUAGGAAUACCCGCUGAACUUAAGCAUAUCAAUAAGCGGAGGAAAAGAAA